rnacentral:tRNA from 1 species
AAGAAAUUAAGUAAAAGAAUAGCUGCUAACUAAUUCUUUAAGCGGUUAAAUUCCGUUUAUUUCUUU